GGAAUAAUCACUCUGCCUUGCAUCUCUAAAAGAAAAUGAAGAUUCCCUCUACUCAGUGUUAUGGAAAAUCUCCAGGAUAUGUCAUGAAUUGGAGAGAAAAAGGUCCUGAAUAAAUCUCUGCUGGAAAGAUUAUUAAUCAGUGUGACCUUUGCAUCUGGCCGUGGCAGAAAAUCUGACCCUCCAGUCCUGUGGACUAUGAAAAAUAUGCUCAGAGCCAAACCGAGAGGGCCAGCUAUCUGCAACAGUGGCCAAAGAGCUGUGGAACAACUCUGUCCGUACCCAGUCCAGCUAAGGAAUCCUGAGCCAAAGGAAUGUCUCUGCCUCACAAGCCCUUAGAAUAAUAGGCUUAACAUACAGAAAUAGUAUAAAGAGAAUAUUGAAACUACCUGUAAUCCAUUCAGUGAUGACCACUGACAUAAGUCAACAUUUUAGUGUAUUUUAAAAUUGUGACUAUAAAAUUUAUAUGGGUGUCAAUUGAUAAAAUAUUUUAGACAUUGAUUUUUCAGUAAACAUCAAUAUCUUUCAAAAUGGUGCAAAAAUUACAUUUCUAGAUAUUUAUCUUUAAGAACUCAUCAGAAAUCCCCAGAAAGACUGUGUAUGUGUAAAGACUGUAAAUGUGCAGUGAUAUACAAUACAGGUUUGUGUAUAUUCACAUAGUUUGUGCAUAUACACAAAAAUAUAUUUUUCAGUUAUAAAAACUUUUACUCAAAUUUUAAGUCAUAAUUCUAUAUGAUUUAGAUGACUAUAUAGUACUCUAUAUGUAGACAUGCUAUAACUUAUUUAACUGGUCUGCUGCCACUGGACCUUAUUUCUGCUUUACUUCAUAAAUAACAAUGUAAAAUAUUAUUCUUGUGCAUACAACUGUGUAUGAGUCUCUAAUUCCACAUUCUGGAUAAAAUUUUAUACAAGGGUUGCUGGCUAAGUACAUGUCGCAGGCAACUUACAUUUCUACUAUACCAGUAUAUAAGAAUGCCAUUUCCUUCACACUGAGGAUAGUGCCAUAAAAUAAACAAUAGCACAAGGUAGUCUAAAGAUGAACAGAUGUGAUAUAGUGCACUUUAAAUCUUUGUUUCUUUAAAUCUUUCCUGAUGGAUUAUUUGCAUUUUUGCCCUCCUUAUGUUUGUUGAUCACUUAUAUGCCUCCCCUUUUAUUGCUUAGGAAAUUGCCAUUCAUGUUCCUUGUCAAGUUUUCCAAUGUGCUUUGAAUUUUUUCGGUUUUAUAUUCCUGGAAAUUUGUAUCAGUAAUUUUGACACUGUUACGUUUUCAGAAGUCUGAUACUUAGUUUUUUUUUUUUUUUUUUUUUUUUUUUUUGAGACGGAGUUUCGCUCUUGUGACCGAGACUGGAGUGCAGUGGCGCAAUGUCGGCUCACCACAAUCUCCGCCUCCUGGGUUCAGGCAAUUCUCCUGCCUCAGCCUCCCAAGUAGCUGGGAUUACAGGCACGCGCCACCAUGCCCAGCUAAUUUUUUGUGAUACUUAGUUUUUUAUUUUUAUACACAGACACUUUUUCAUAAAAUAUAGUCAUUAGAGCCACAUUCUGGGAUGUAGGAGUUUCAAUUUGUAAAGCAUUUUUCUACCAACUUGUUAUGUUUAAUAAAGAAAGUAAUUAUUGGUUUCCUUGGAAGAGGAGUUUUUUACUUUAAUAGCGAUGUCUUGGCAUUGCAUUCUUUCUUUGCUCAUUUUCCUCAAGCCUUAUCAAUCCACAUCACUCACAGCCAACACAUUUCGCCAGGAGGCAUAUUAUCAGAAAAUGUAAUUAAAGAAGAUAGAAGGUGACCUAAGUUUUACUCAGUUUGGGUUGCUAUAACAGAAUAAUGUAGAUUGAGUGGCUAAUAAACAUAGAAGUUUAAUUCUCACAGUUCUGGAGACUGGGAAGUCUAAUAGCAACAUGCAGACAGAUUCAGUGUCUACUGGAGGCCCACUUCCCACUUCACAGGUGGCCCUCUUCUUGCUGCGUCUUCAUGUGGUGGAAGAAGGGAGGAAGUUCUCUCAGCUUCUUUAAUAAAAUCAUUAAUACCCCUCCCAAAGCCUCCACAGUCACAACCUAAUCACCUCCCAAAGGCUUCAUCUCCCAACACCACCACAGUGAGGAUCAGAUUUCAGCAUAUGAAUUUUGGGGCGACACAAACAAUCUAUAGCACCAAAAUAUAAAUGAUUGUUUGUCUCAAUUCUGACUUUCUUAACCCAAGGUUAUUGAUUUCUAACAAAUCAAUAUCAGUUAAUUUGUAUAGUAAUAGUUUGCUUUUAUGUGUCCUAUAUUUUACCAAUAUUGUUGAAUUUACAUAGUACAGAUGACAUCAUGUCUUCAUAUUUUCAUUAAACAUGAAAAGAUCAUAAAUCUCACUCCCUAAAUGUAAAUCUAAAUCUAAAUCUGACUUUUCUCUCGAGGACAGAGGUCCUCGAGAACACACUACAAAAAAACUAAAGAGACAAGCAUUUUGGUAAACUCAAUUUUAUUUCUAAGUAAUAGUCUGAACUUAAAAUAUUGUUGAUGAAUUUCUCAUCUUCUUAAAAUUGUUUUGAUAUACAAUUGAUUCUUUUGUUUAAAAUGUC
ensembl:lncRNA